CAGGAAUCAGGAGCUGGAGGCCAGAGAGGCAGCAGGUGUAUUCUCUAUACUCCACAAUGGAAAACCCCAGCUUGGACAGUCAACCUAGUCAACCCAGUCUCUUCUUAUAAGCUUUCCCAUCUCCCAUGUAGGAGUCGUUUACCCCUCUCCUGCACCCACCAGUGUCUAUUUGCAAAUUUUUCAUCAAGAAACGUGUAAUGCUACAUACAUGAGUAAUCUGUGUCCCUGUGUCAGACACUGGCUGUUAUGGACUGGACUGUGUCUCCCCAAAAUUUCUAUGCUGGAGCCCUCCCAAUGUGACUGUAUUUGAAGAUGGAGCCUUUAAAGAUGGAAUGAAGAUUAAAUGAGGUCAUAAGGAUGGGGCCUUAAUCCUAUAUGACCGGUGUCCUUAUGAGAAGAGAAGGAGACACAAACGAUGCAUGCACAGAGGAAAGGACAUGUGAAGACGUAGAAAGAAGGCAGCCUUCUGAAAACCAAGGAGGGAAGACUCAGGAGAAACCAAAUCUGCCAACAGUUUGAUCUUGGACUUUCAGCCUCCAAUAUUGUGAAAAAACAAAUUUGUGUUAUUUAAGUGACCCAUUCUGUGGUAUCUUCUUAUGGCAGCCCUAGCAGACUAAUACAGCACUGUUACACCAUAUCUCAGUAUAACAGUAGAUAUAACCUGAAAAAUAAGAGUCUACUCUCUGGGGCAUCUCCCUCCUGUUUGAAGAUAGAAGAGUUCUUGUUGGCAUUUUGUGCCUCAGAGGAUACAAGAGGACUAUGCCUAGAUUCAUCUCAACUCUGCAUUGCUAGAACACCCCCUAUCCACUCAUUUCAUUGGCCCGAGUGGCUGCCUCGAGGGAGUGCACCAAGAUAUCUACUUGCCAGUUCCAAUCACCUUCCAAUCCUGGAAGGAGUGCUUUUUACGCACAUCAAAAUACCCUUUCUUAAUACACCCCUUAUAUUCCCAUAGUCCUUUCCGUGGGACCACAUUCCAUAUUCACAUCCCAUUAGGACAAUUUUCCAUUACACUUCUGCCUGACCAUAUGGCUAGGCCAAUGGCCACACUUUAUGAGUCAACAAAAAUGAGGCAAACAGCCUGCAAUUAGUGCCACAUGAACUGUUUUAUUUUUACCUUCUUCAAUUAAACUGUUGCCCUUCCAAACAGGAUGUCAUCUAUUCACCAUGUAACUGCCAUCCACAAAGCAAGCAGAUCUUUGUUAGUCAAAUAGAGAAUUGUUCAUAGGGCAACUCCCAAGUGGUCCAAGUGGCCAUAGAAUUUAGCAACUCCUCAGGUGUUUCCAAAGUUGGCCCCUGGGGACAAAAACCCGACCACUCAUGAGUACUCCUUGCAUUCCCCUGGUAGCAUGUUCCGAUAUAAACCAUAUCCAUUUUAUCAUGGAACCCUUUUGGUCACUGUCCUCCCCAUUAGAGCAUUUCCCUGACAUCACUCAAGACAUUUUUGGUACUUCAGGAUUAUUCUCAGUCAUAAGAGUAGUCUCAAUUAGCAUAUAAUAGCAAGCUUGUUGACUCUCAAAUAGUUGCCUCUCAUACUGCUGGUCCAAAAUCCUAGCAGUCACUGCUAGGUAGUACUCACUGGCUUUUGCCAUAGGCUCCCAGUGUUUCCUCCAUAUAGGCUAUUGUACAGAGAAUUUGUCUGCACUAGUACUGCAGCUAGAUACUAAUAGGGCAUUAAUUAAAGGGCUAAUCUCCUUUUGUCCACCAGAUAUUCCAUACUGAUUCAAAUUGAUGACAUGUAUGGGCUCAGGCAAUCUUAUUGUUUUUCAUUUAGCAUGUUCUCUCAAUAUUGACUGAAGGGUGAAUUUACAUGUCUUCUGUUUUACAAUACUUGGUAGGGGAAGCAUUCCCAACUCAGACACAAUCUUCAUCUCCAUAAUACGUUUAGGUAAAGGAGAUACAAUCACUUCACAUAAAAUCUGUACAAACAUUCCAAUUUUCAUCCAAACUUUCACCUUAAUCUCAUCAAUUGUUAUAUCCCUAUAUGUUCCCAAUCUAACCGUAGCCCCUGUUAGAAUCUCAUCAACAGGUUUUGGAAUGACAGUGCACUGGGAUCCCAGUCAGAGUCCCAGAAACAUCUGUUCUCUGUAGGACGUUUCCUCUGCAGCACGUUUCCUCUGUAGCAGCCUGAGAUGGGGCCCUGCUCAGGCGCCCCCCCAACUUUGCUGGGCCUCCUGACUCCUGGGAUUCAUCAGCCUCCUCCCCAAGCCCAGGCUUGGGCUCCUGGGAAGAGAGGGCAAUUGUGUGGAGCUGGGGUGGUGGUUGGGUGGCUGACGGCUAAAAGGGCUCUUCUGAUACCUUUGGUGAACAAAAGGAGAACACUCUUGUCCUGUAAUUUGUAAAUGCAGUGUAUUUGAUUUAGAGCUCUGAGAUGAACAGAAAGAACAAAUGGCCUUUUGGUGGCGACAAGGCUGGGAACCCUGAUCUAGGGCAGCUUUGGCUGCAUUAAGGGAACCCUUUACCAGGGAGGUGAGGCUGCCGUGGCAAAGAAACCACUAGAACCUGGAAUGUCCCUGUGUCUGCUGGUGAGGAGCUGGGGAAGAACGAGUCCUUGUUAUUACGGGCUUCAGACAGUGGAAACACCACAAAGAGAUGGAAGCUGGAUUUGAUGCAUGAGUUGAGAGAAAACUACUGUUGGUUUCCCAAUGUGGUGAUAGGGUUAGAUAAAUGGACAAAAUUUUAUGUUGACAUGUAUGAGAGUUCAUAAUUUUAUAUUAAUUAAACACAUUUUAAACUCAAUCUUGUU